UAGAAAAUGAAACAUAUUUUCAUUUAAAAUUCAAAUCUUUGUCUGUGCUCAUUGAAGUAUAAAUCUGGAAAACUAUCGCACUGUGGUGUAUCUACACCAACCACGUUUACCGAGAUUCCUUCAGUGGGAUGUAUCCAAUACUAUUUCUCAAGGUUCAAACUAUUAUUCGACCGAAAAAAAAAAAAAAAUGUCCAAUUGUUCCCUCGCGAAGGUGACGCCUUCCCCGAAGAAUUUAAACGAAGAAAGGCUAAAAAAAUUCGUCGAGAACGUCGUAAGCUUGUCUUUGGACGACUCGAGACUCGAAAUAACGAGGCUGCCGGUCCGUGGUUCGGCGUCGAGCGUCGUGACGCGGAUCGAAUCCGCGCGAGAGCAAGAGAGCGAGAAUAGAUGCGACUGUAAUUGGAUUUACAGUCAUCGGUUCGGUUCGCCCGGCGGAUAGAGGCCUAAAGGCCGCGUUACUCGACACCAGCCACGCUUGCUCGAUUUUAAGGCGUCCAACUACCCUCAACCACCCCGAAAACAGCCCCAAUUUUAGGGAAUUUUUAAGGUAUGAGUGGGAGCAUGAAUACUACAUGGCAUGCAGAGUUGAAAUUUAAGUACAUGAGUAUAUAAAUAUGCCAACUGACAAUAUGUAAUUUCUUUGAGGGGUAUGGAACGAACCAAAUUUUAUUGACGUACUACAACAGUAUAAUUUUUUCCUUCCUGAGGAUUGCUUUGAUGCGUGGUCAAAACGCUGGACAAUUUAUUGGCCCUCUUGUGGAAAAAACAAUUCUUUUUCUUUUUUCUUUUUGUAUACUCAAGGAAGAAACUGCCCCUUUAACCAAACACUGGAUCGAGUGUUUCGCCAGCGAUUCGACGGGCGCGUAAUGGAACCCCUCUGCCCCAUGGUGUAAAUACAUAUUACGCUCGAGACUAAAUACAAACAAUCCGGCGCGGUUCGCACGGAGCCGCGUAUAAUGCAGCCGGUCGCGUUGUUUCCGUCAAAAUUGAAAAUUACAGACCCCCCCCCCCGCUCCCCGACUGAUCCGUUUGUGUCGAAGGCCCCGCCAACAGGGGGCAAAAUAUGAAAUCAAUAUUUGCGUAGCCGCGCGCACGCACCCCCCUCGAGCGACAUUUAUACUAAUAUUCGGCAGUUUUACAGAGGAAUUGGCUCGGACCGGCGAAAAUUAUUCGACCGUAUUGCUUAAUCGGCAUAAAUAAAAUUUAGCGGGCUUGUUUGGUUUGUCAGUGAUUUUUCAUCGAAAGUCGAAGCGCGCUGAACCCUUGCCGACCCUCGUUGGGUGAUAUAGUACGUGGCUUAUUUAUUUUUUUUUUUUGUGUAAUUCAAGGGAGGAAGUAUGCACAAGCUUUUUCCAACCGACUGUGUGCGUAUGCAUGUGCAACCGAUUUCAUGUACAUAUCAAAAAUUGCACAUAAUGUAUAUAAUGAUUAUGUGUGUAAGCACUUCAACGAGCAUACUUUUAUUUCUAACCACGCAUCCAAACCCUAGUAUAACGAAAUGAGUGCAUACCAAAUGCGCACACAAAUCGUACGUAAUGUACAAUAAUUAUGUGCAUAUAUACUCACUUUAACGUGCAUAUCUUUAUUUCUAACCAUACAUUCAAACCCUGGUAUACGAAACAAGUGCAAGUGCGGUAGACACAGUUGCUGCACCAUACCGAACCAAAUAUUAAAAAUUGUCUCUUCAACAAAUGCUCGAAUCGUUCCUGUUUCAAUCUCACGUAUCUUCGAACCAAAAAAAAAAUCUAGCCGCUCUUUCCAAAAACACCUCCGUAUACAAUCUUUGAAAGGGUCAAAAUAAAUUCCCCAAUCGUUAAAAAAAAAAA